AUCAUGGCUAACUGCUGAGCCACAAAAAAAAAAAUGUAAACAACAGGUCGCCAUGGUAACGUAUCGGCGCACGCCAAUGACGUACGUGGGAAUCCACCUCGCGCCCCGAUCACGUGCCCCCAGCGGCCUUCACCUCCCGGCCACCCAUCCGCCAUCUCUCUCACCGCAGAUUCGCCACUCUGUUCUGAAGCCGUAAAGAGGAGCGGAAUAAUUCCACGGACCCGCCCCCUGCCCUCAUAUCGAUACCGGACUGCUAAACGGGCAGCAGGUCGCGGGGAAACACCAGCUGGAUUUUUUUUAUUUUUUUUUCCCGCGUGCCGUUGGUUGCCGCCAUGGCGCUGCCAGGUAAGGCUGGCUGGGGGAGGGGGAGGUUUGUUUCCCCACCUGCACUUUCACUACACUGACUGACUGACUGCCAAGGGAAUGGGGCAGGUGGCCGGUCACGUGGUGACAGCGAGAGCGCGCGCGCUGCACAGGUUAGCGGGCGGGGCAGGGCGGCGUCCAAUCAGCGUGCGCUGUGCCUCAGUGACGUCAGUGUAGAGGACUAUAAAAAAGGCAGAUGGGUG